CAGCCGCCGCGGGAAUACGUAGGUGGCAAGCGUUGUCCGGAAUUAUUGGGCGUAAAGCGCGCGUAGGUGGUUUAAUAAGUCUGAUGUGAAAGCCCACGGCUCAACCGUGGAGGGUCAUUGGAAACUGUUAAACUUGAGUGCAGGAGAGAAAAGUGGAAUUCCUAGUGUAGCGGUGAAAUGCGUAGAGAUUAGGAGGAACACCAGUGGCGAAGGCGACUCUCUGGUCUGUAACUGACGCUGAGGGGCGAAAGCGUGGGGAGCGAACAGGAUUAGAUACCCCAGUAGUCCCUGUCUCUUAUAA
rnacentral:rRNA from 1 species